CAGUCGCCGCGGGAAUACGAAGGGGGCUAGCGUUGCUCGGAUUUACUGGGCGUAAAGGGUGCGUAGGCGGAUCGUUUAGUUGGGGGUGAAAGCCCGGGGCUCAACCUCGGAAUUGCCUUCAAUACUGGCGGCCUUGAGUAUGGAAGAGGUAAGUGGAACUCCGAGUGUAGAGGUGAAAUUCGUAGAUAUUCGGAAGAACACCGGUGGCGAAGGCGACUUACUGGUCCAUUACUGACGCUGAGGCACGAAAGCGUGGGGAGCAAACAGGAUUAGAUACCCGCGUAGUCCCUGUCUCUUAUAC
rnacentral:rRNA from 1 species